rnacentral:rRNA from 1 species
UACAGAGGUCUCAAGCGUUUGUUCGGAUUCAUUGGGCGUAAAGGGUGCGCAGGCGGCGCGGUAAGUCGGGUGUGAAAUCUCGGAGCUUAACUCCGAAACUGCAUUCGAUACUGCCGUGCUUGAGGACUGGAGAGGAGACUGGAAUUUACGGUGUAGCGGUGAAAUGCGUAGAUAUCGUAAGGAAGACCAGUGGCGAAGGCGGGUCUCUGGACAGUUCCUGACGCUGAGGCACGAAGGUCAGGGGAGCAAACGGGG